rnacentral:rRNA from 1 species
UGCCUAGGAAUCUGCCUGGUAGUGGGGGACAACGUUUCGAAAGGAACGCUAAUACCGCAUACGUCCUACGGGAGAAAGCAGGGGACCUUCGGGCCUUGCGCUAUCAGAUGAGCCUAGGUCGGAUUAGCUAGUUGGUGAGGUAAUGGCUCACCAAGGCGACGAUCCGUAACUGGUCUGAGAGGAUGAUCAGUCACACUGGAACUGAGACACGGUCCAGACUCCUACGGGAGGCAGCAGUGGGGAAUAUUGGACAAUGGGCGAAAGCCUGAUCCAGCCAUGCCGCGUGUGUGAAGAAGGUCUUCGGAUUGUAAAGCACUUUAAGUUGGGAGGAAGGGCAUUAACCUAAUACGUUAGUGUUUUGACGUUACCGACAGAAUAAGCACCGGCUAACUCUGUGCCAGCAGCCGCGGUAAUACAGAGGGUGCAAGCGUUAAUCGGAAUUACUGGGCGUAAAGCGCGCGUAGGUGGUUUGUUAAGUUGGAUGUGAAAGCCCCGGGCUCAACCUGGGAACUGCAUCCAAAACUGGCAAGCUAGAGUACGGUAGAGGGUGGUGGAAUUUCCUGUGUAGCGGUGAAAUGCGUAGAUAUAGGAAGGAACACCAGUGGCGAAGGCGACCACCUGGACUGAUACUGACACUGAGGUGCGAAAGCGUGGGGAGCAAACAGGAUUAGAUACCCUGGUAGUCCACGCCGUAAACGAUGUCAACUAAACCGUUGGAAUCCUUGAGAUUUUAGUGGCGCAGCUAACGCAUUAAGUGAAAGCUAUGGGGGACGGC